AGUGGCGGACGGGUGAGUAAUGCUUGGGAAUCUGCCUGUCAGUGGGGGACAACCCGGGGAAACUCGGGCUAAUACCGCAUACGCUCCACGGAGGAAAGCGGGGGACCGAAAGGCCUCGCGCUGACAGAUGAGCCCAAGUCGGAUUAGCUAGUUGGUGGGGUAAAGGCCUACCAAGGCGACGAUCCGUAGCUGGUCUGAGAGGACGAUCAGCCACACUGGGACUGAGACACGGCCCAGACUCCUACGGGAGGCAGCAGUGGGGAAUAUUGGACAAUGGGGGCAACCCUGAUCCAGCAAUGCCGCGUGUGUGAAGAAGGCCUGCGGGUUGUAAAGCACUUUUGGCAGGGAAGAAAAGCCUCGGGAUAACACCCCGGGGUCUUGACGUAACCUGCAGAAAAAGCACCGGCUAACUCUGUGCCAGCAGCCGCGGUAAUACAGAGGGUGCAAGCGUUAAUCGGAAUUACUGGGCGUAAAGCGCGCGUAGGUGGUUUGGUAAGUCGGUUGUGAAAUCCCCGGGCUUAACCUGGGAAUUGCAGUCGAUACUGCCUGACUCGAGUGUGGGAGAGGGAAGCGGAAUUUCCGGUGUAGCGGUGAAAUGCGUAGAUAUCGGAAGGAACACCAGUGGCGAAGGCGGCUUCCUGGCCCAACACUGACACUGAGGCGCGAAAGCGUGGGUAGCGAACAGGAUUAGAUACCCUGGUAGUCCACGCCNUAAACGAUG
rnacentral:rRNA from 1 species